rnacentral:rRNA from 1 species
UACGUAGGGGGCUAGCGUUGUCCGGAAUCAUUGGGCGUAAAGCGCGUGUAGGCGGCUUGGCAAGUCCGCUGUGAAAACUCGAGGCUCAACCUCGAGAUGUCGGUGGAAACUGCUUGGCUAGAGUCCGGAAGAGGAGAGUGGAAUUCCCGGUGUAGCGGUGAAAUGACGCAGAUAUCGGGAAGAACACCUAUGGCGAAGGCAGCUCUCUGGGACGGUACUGAGCUGAGACGCGAAAGCGUGGGGAGCAAACAGGG